GACGAACGCUGGCGGCGUGCCUAAUACAUGCAAGUCGAGCGGACUGAUUAAGAGCUUGCUCUUAUGACGUUAGCGGCGGACGGGUGAGUAACACGUGGGCAACCUGCCCUGUAGAUCGGGAUAACACCGAGAAAUCGGUGCUAAUACCGGGUAAUAUCUGAGAUCACAUGAUCUUAGGUUAAAAGAUGGCUCCGGCUAUCACUACAGGAUGGGCCCGCGGCGCAUUAGCUAGUUGGUAAGGUAAUGGCUUACCAAGGCGACGAUGCGUAGCCGACCUGAGAGGGUGAUCGGCCACACUGGGACGGAGACACGGCCCAGACUCCUACGGGAGGCAGCAGUAGGGAAUCUUCCGCAAUGGACGAAAGUCUGACGGAGCAACGCCGCGUGAGUGAUGAAGGGGUUCGGCUCGUAAAGCUCUGUUGUUAGGGAAGAAACAGUACCGAACGAACUAGGUCGGUACCUUGACGGUACCUAACCAGAAAGCCACGGCUAACUACGUG
rnacentral:rRNA from 1 species